rnacentral:rRNA from 1 species
AUGAACGCUGGCGGCGUGCUUAACACAUGCAAGUCGAACGGAAAGGCCCAAGCUUGCUUGGGUACUCGAGUGGCGAACGGGUGAGUAACACGUGGGUGAUCUGCCCUGCACUUCGGGAUAAGCCUGGGAAACUGGGUCUAAUGCCGGAUAGGACCACAUUUUGGAUGGUGUGGUGGAAAGUUUUUCGGUGUGGGAUGAGCUCGCGGCCUAUCAGCUUGUUGGUGGGGUAAUGGCCUACCAAGGCGUCGACGGGUAGCCGGCCUGAGAGGGUGUACGGCCACAUUGGGACUGAGAUACGGCCCAGACUCCUACGGGAGGCAGCAGUGGGGAAUAUUGCACAAUGGGCGCAAGCCUGAUGCAGCGACGCCGCGUGGGGGAUGACGGCCUUCGGGUUGUAAACUCCUUUCGCUAGGGACGAAGCGUUAUGUGACGGUACCUGGAGAAGAAGCACCGGCUAACUACGUG